GCAAGUCAGCUUUGUAAGGCUGCAAUGUCGAGUCGAUUUACCCUGCUUGCCAAAAAAGCUAAAAAAGAAUUAUUUGAAGCUAGCACAUAUCAUGCAGCUAAGUGUAUGUCUGCCUCCUAUCAAGAAGCUAAAUCUAAGUAGAAAUCCUACUUAGAACAACAUGGCUAUGGAUCCUGGAUUGUGAAAUCUCCCUGCAUAGAACAAUUUAACAUGUGA
rnacentral:lncRNA from 1 species